AUUGAACGCUGGCGGCAUGCCUUACACAUGCAAGUCGAACGGCAGCAUGGAGAGCUUGCUCUCUGAUGGCGAGUGGCGAACGGGUGAGUAAUGCAUCGGAACGUACCGUGUAAUGGGGGAUAACGUAGCGAAAGUUACGCUAAUACCGCAUACGACCUGAGGGUGAAAGCCGGGGAUCGCAAGACCUUGCGUUAUACGAGCGGCCGAUGUCAGAUUAGCUAGUUGGUGAGGUAAAGGCUCACCAAGGCGACGAUCUGUAGCGGGUCUGAGAGGAUGAUCCGCCACACUGGGACUGAGACACGGCCCAGACUCCUACGGGAGGCAGCAGUGGGGAAUUUUGGACAGUGGGGGCAACCCUGAUCCAGCCAUGCCGCGUGAGUGAAGAAGGCCUUCGGGUUGUAAAGCUCUUUCGGCCGGGAGGAAAUCGCACAGGCUAAUACUCUGUGUGGAUGACGGUACCGGCAUAAGAAGCACCGGCUAACUACGUGCCAGCCGCCGCCGUAA
rnacentral:rRNA from 1 species